GAUGAACGCUGGCGGCGUGCUUAACACAUGCCAGUCGAACGGAAAGGCCCAAGCUUGCUUGGGUACUCGAGUGGCGAACGGGUGAGUAACACGUGGGUGAUCUGCCCUGCACUUCGGGAUAAGCCUGGGAAACUGGGUCUAAUACCGGAUAGGACGAUGGUUUGGAUGCCAUUGUGGAAAGUUUUUUCGGUGUGGGAUGAGCUCGCGGCCUAUCAGCUUGUUGGUGGGGUAGUGGCCUACCAAGGCGUCGACGGGUAGCCGGCCUGAGAGGGUGUACGGCCACAUUGGGACUGAGAUACGGCCCAGACUCCUACGGGAGGCAGCAGUGGGGAAUAUUGCACAAUGGGCGCAAGCCUGAUGCAGCGACGCCGCGUGGGGGAUGACGGCCUUCGGGUUGUAAACUCCUUUCGCUAGGGACGAAGCGUUUUUGUGACGGUACCUGGAGAAGAAGCACCGGCUAACUACGUG
rnacentral:rRNA from 1 species